GUAAAAGUGUGUAGAAGCACAAUUACUACAGCCCCUUUACCAAUGACAGCACGACUGCAAAUACCAGAGCUUUCUACAUUAGAGAACAUGAAAAACCCCAAAAAGAUCCCUAAAUAUAACAGGUUCCUAACGCCGAUAGCUUUCGAAACCCCAAAGUUAACUACAGAUGCGACUUUACCAGCAGAACAGACAUUUAGGCCCCGCCGAUCCUGCCAACUAUAUACACCUUUAUACCAGCAUAGUAUGCUGAGUGCUGCCUGUACCCAAAUGUGCUCAUCCAUAAGUUUGUUUGUCGGAUAAUGUGGCGAAUGAUAGUAAAAUACUUCAAGAGUCCAACCCACUGUUAGUUAAAGCCAUCAGACAUUAUCACCAAUGAACUGACGAUCGUUCGAGGGCUAUCUGUUUUUGAAAACAGUAUACCUUGACAACGUACUGUAUACUUCUUUGGUGCUAUACACUUAUAUCACACAGAAUGCUUCUCGACAACAUCUAUAUUGGAACUAAUCCAAAUUAAUCUCUUAUGAACCCCCAGCAAGUAACAGUUGCCAAAUAUGAGGAGACCUACUUAACAACUGUCAUGUGCCACCCGUUCAAUCAACAUGUCAUUACCUUACAUUUACAAAUGGAGAUCUGGAAUCUAUACCAUGCCUUGCAAGAUAUACAUUGACACUGAUAUUGCCCACAUCUUACCUCAAGCAGUCUUCAAUCUGACCCAAGAAAAGUGUGCAUCUUGUCCAUUUUCCUGAAAAAGCUCGCAUUGAAAUUAACUCAUACCAAAAUGUUCAUCAAAUUUAAAAGCAGAACCAAUCAAGAUGUGUUACACUGUAGUAUUGUAUGAGUAAUCGGUCGGUGCAUUGACUAGAAUUUUAAGUUACCGUAUUUGAAUUACUGGAAGUAUGCGCGUGCAUUGAUAUUUUUAUGAAAUGCGUGAACUACGCCCCUGUAAACAGAGCAUAUUAUUUUCAGGACUUAUUAAAUCACUGUUUUUUUUAAAAAAAAAACAUCAGACAAUGUCGAAAAAUUAAAAUAUAAAACAUAAGACAAUGUCGAAAAUUUGCGAUGAAAAUUGUAACGAUCUGCAGUACUUAUACAAUAUCUUUCUAAUGUGGCCAAACUUCGCUUUCGCGGUUUCCAUCAAUUUUUGUUUGUGUUUUUAUUGUUUGGUAAAAGUAAAACUCCCGCCCCAAAAAUCAGAGAAACACCACAAAUUAUAGUCGCCCCGACAAAGCAAACUAAAUCAAACCAAUAUUAAAAAUACAACCCCAAAACAAUUAGAAUUCCUAGUCGAAAUUUCCCACUUAAUUAGACUGCCGAAUUUAGCCUAAAAAUCCGCCCUGUCAUUAAAAGUUAACCCAAAAUUUAAACAAAUCCCAAACAUAGCCCCGUCAACAUUAAAAUACUUACCGCAAUUAAUCCACCAACAAAUUAUGUCCCCAAACAAAACCGACAACCAUGGAAAACGGCUUCACAAACCCUGGACAGUCAGCUGGACUACAAAACAACAAGGAAAAAACAAACAAAGAAUAAUUCAGCAACAAUCAAAGAAUGAUAUUGGAGAUAUUGUAGAAAGAAGACAGAUUCAGUGAAAAAUUUGGGACAUGUACAUGUAGAGUGACAGCAUUUUUCUACUUGUUGAUUUGAACAUUUGUAUUUGGAUUCCGUCAAUUGUCCGUCCCUGUGUUGUUUGUAUGUUUCUUUGCAUACCAGCAGAACUACCACCGAAGCUGGUAUUACUAAAAUACCCUGACUUUUCUGGCUACCCCACCAAUCAGAAAACGCUAACACUGUGCAUGUGAUGCGUGUUACUUUCAAUGGAGCGUUGGAUUCGCCCAGUGAACCAAAAACCUGUGAACGAAAAACAGAAAACCUGGAACAUCUCAAAAAGAAUACCACCUUUUAUGCCGAACUUGCGAAAGCUUUGCACACUUCGUGCAAAAACAUAAUUGUCUUCUUGCACGUGAAAAUGCCUCGAAAAUCAUUACAUGGUUAAUACCAUCACCAACCUUGAUAAUGAAGACAUAUUUCUUUCUUCAGAGGCAACAGAGUAAGCUACACCUCGCAUAUUUUGCUUGAUUGUAUAUUUUAGUUUUUGUUCUGCAGAUGAAUAAACCAUUAUACUUCUU